rnacentral:rRNA from 1 species
ACCGGAGCUAAUACCGGAUAAUAUAUUGAACCGCAUGGUUCAAUAGUGAAAGACGGUUUUGCUGUCACUUAUAGAUGGAUCCGCGCCGCAUUAGCUAGUUGGUAAGGUAACGGCUUACCAAGGCAACGAUGCGUAGCCGACCUGACGAGGGUGAUCGGCCACUACUGGAACUGAGACACGGUCCAG